rnacentral:sRNA from 1 species
AUGUCGGAGUUACCGUCGUGGGUUAAUGAUCAGAUUAAGAAGGGGGCAUCAUUGUCUGAUUGUUUAGAAAUGUUGAAGUUGUUGAGUGAGAAGGACAGGGAAGAGAGAAAGAUUGAACGGGAAGAGAGGCAGGCUGAGCGUGAGAUGAAGAAAGCUGCGUUGGAUCAUGAGUUUAAGGUUAAGGAGUUAGCAUUGAAAGAGGAAGAGUUAAAGGUAGCUAGAGCUAAUGGAGGGAAAUCAAAUGCUGAACAAGGAAAAGGCCCGCAGGUCAAAGACAGAGCCUGUUACUAUUGUAAGAGGCCUGGGCAUAUCCAGAGAGACUGUUCUCUUUACAACCGAGGACAGUAUAGAAAACCCGAGGACAAGAAGUUUGGUAAGCUUGGGUUGUGUUUGUCAGAACACGAAAAUAAGCAACAUACAGAGGGGGGAAAACCUGACUUGUAUACAAGUGCAGCGUUGGUCAAACUCCCUGGUGUAAGUACAGGGGAUACAAAAUAUGUAGAUGAUAAUUCAGUACCAGGUUUGGAUAUUUCUAGGGGAAGUGUAGGAGAUUCUCCAUUUGCUGACGUCAUACUUGGAAACGUAAUAGACAAGAUCGAGAAAAUGGAAGUUGAGAAACCAGCUGACUGUUUGGCAGUUCAGACAAGGAAACGAAGCCUAGACCAAAGAAGACAGAUGAUGAAGCACGUGGUAGUCACCAAGAUUGGGAAAUUCUCCCUACUUUGUUCAUUUCCGAAUGUUUGUCACCAUUUUCAAGGGGAUGACGGUUUAUACAAGCUGAAUCGUGACUACAAAGUCGGAGACGAGUACGGAGCGCCAGACCCGCCAUUUUCCAUCCAUAUCGGGGACACGUGGCGUCGAUGUACGUGUAUUGUGUAUGGUGACCGGGAGCGGUCUACGCUGGAGACGUUUGUAUAUGUGUGUUGUGUUGUGGUGUCCUAA